rnacentral:rRNA from 1 species
AUAUAGGGUCUAAAUACCCUAAAGGCACCAGAUCACAUCUGAUCUUGGCAGCUAAGCAGGGUAAUCUCUGAUUAGGACUUUGAUGGGACAUCACCAAUGGAUACCAGGUGCUGUAGGCU